rnacentral:lncRNA from 1 species
CUGGAUCUCCUCCGUCGACUGCCUGUGCGCGAUCGGCGCCGCCGGCCUCAACCGCAGCGUCUCCUUGUACGCCGCCUGCAGAUACGGCAGUCUCGGCAGGUCCCCCUCGCCGGCGAUCCUGUCCCGCCCCACCACCGCCUCGAUCUCCUCCCGCACCUUGCGCAGGGCCUCCGGGUGGUUCAUCAGCUCCGCCACCAUCCACUCCACCAUGGCGGCCGAAGUGUCGGACCCGGCAGUAACAACGUCCUGAUCGAUCGAGUGCAUC